rnacentral:rRNA from 1 species
UACGAAGGGGGGCUAGCGUUGCUCGGAAUCACUGGGCGUAAAGCGCACGUAGGCGGCUUUUUAAGUCAGGGGUGAAAUCCUGGAGCUCAACUCCAGAACUGCCUUUGAUACUGAGAAGCUUGAGUUCGGGAGAGGUGAGUGGAACUGCGAGUGUAGAGGUGAAAUUCGUAGAUAUUCGCAAGAACACCAGUGGCGAAGGCGGCUCACUGGCCCGAUACUGACGCUGAGGCGCGACAGCGUGGGGAGCAAACAGG